ACCCAUGGUCCUACCACCCUGAAUACGCCUACUGUCUGAUCUUGGAAACCAAGCAGAGUUGGGCCUGGUUAGUACUUGGAUGGGAGACCACCUGGGAAUACCAGGUGCUACAGGCU
ensembl:rRNA 5S_rRNA 5S ribosomal RNA